UACAGAGGGUGCGAGCGUUAAUCGGAAUUACUGGGCGUAAAGUGUGCGCAGGCGGCCGCGCAAGUCGAGUGUGAAAUCCCCGAGCUUAACUUGGGAAUUGCGCUCGAAACUACGUGGCUGGAGUGUGGCAGAGGAAGGUGGAAUUCCACGUGUAGCGGUGAAAUGCGUAGAGAUGUGGAGGAACACCGAUGGCGAAGGCAGCCUUCUGGGCCAACACUGACGCUCAUGCACGAAAGCGUGGGGAGCAAACAGG
rnacentral:rRNA from 1 species